GUUAUUUUGGCAGAAUAGUGCAAUUGAUUUAGGAUCUUUAUAUGUAAAUAUACAAAUAGCA
rnacentral:tRNA from 2 species